CGGGUAGUAGCUCAGCGGUAGAGCCUUCGCCUGAUAUGCGAAGAGACCCGGCUUCAACUCCCGACUGCUUCG
rnacentral:tRNA from 1 species